rnacentral:lncRNA from 1 species
CUGAAUUGCCAGCAUCAUUACUUAGGAACAUUAUUAAGUAAAAUAAGGAUUACUUGAACACAAGCACUGUGAUGCUCAAUAGUUGAUCUGAUAACCAAGACGGUUAGUUACUAAGUGACUAAUGAGCAGGUAAUAUAGAUGGCGUGGAUGUGCUGUACAAAGAGAUGAUUCACGUCCCAGGCAGGACAGAGUGGGAUGGCGUGAGAUUUCGUCACAUUACUCAGAACAGCAUGCAAUUUAAAACAUGAAUUGCUUUCCAUUUAAAAAUAAAGGAAUUUGAUUAUGCGUUCUCUAAAGCUUCCAAAAGGAUCCAGUCCCAGAUACGUAUUACAUUUAGUCAUCAUGGCUCCUUCGUCUCCUCUGCACAAGGGGAAGCAGCCUGUGGCCCUCACCAGAUGCAGAUAUCCAAUCUUCCAGCAAACAGAAUCGGUCUGCCUAUCCUCACAUAAGCCAAUCCAUUCUCCAUCUCCUUUAAGCAGACAUAUACUGCCUCACGAGGAAACUGACAUCCAGUAAAAGAUCAACAUUAAACAUAAGCCUGGUAGCAGAACCAUAACAGAACCCUGCACUCAUGAUGCCUUCUGAGGACUCUGCCCAUCUUCCUUGAUUAACUCCAGAAUACAGAAGCAACCCUAAAAAUGCAAGCAAACAUCCUGAAGAAGUCAGGAAUGGAUUUUUCUAAGACUCUGUAUAGGCAUACCUCGAAGAUAUUGUGGGUUGGAUCCAGACUACUACAAUAAAGAGAGUAUAAUAAUAAGUUAAGUCACAUAAAUUUUUUAUUUACUUAUAUAUACACUAUAUUGUAGUCUAUUAAGUAUGCAAUAGCAUUAUGUCUUAAAAUUUGUGUAUAUCUUAAUUUAAAGAUAUUUUAUUGUGAAAAAUGCUAACAAUCAUCUUGAGCCUUCAGUGAGUUAUAAUCUUUUGGCUGAUGGAGCAUCUUACCUCAAUUGUGGUGACUGUUGGCAGAGUGGUGGUUGCUGAAGGAUGGGGUGGCUAUGGCAAUUUCUUAAAAUAAAACAAUGAACUUUGGUGUAUCUGUCAACACUUCCUUUCAGAAGAGUUUUCUGUAGCCUAUGAUGCUGUUUAACAGCAUUUUACUAUCAGUAGAACCUCCUUCAAAAUUGGAGUCAAUCUUCUCCAACCCUGUUGCUGCCUAAUCAACCAUGUUUAUGUAACAUUCUAAAUUCUUUGCUGUUAUUUCAACAAUGUUCACAGGGCCGGGCACGGUGGCUCACGCCUGUAAUCCCAGCACUUUGGGAGGCUUAGGUGGGCAGAUCACGAGGUCAGGAGAUCAAGACCAUCCUGGAUAACACGGUGAAACCCCGUCUCUACUAAAAAUACAAAAAAAUAGCCGGGCAUGCUGGCAGGUGCCUGUAGUCCCAGCUACUCAGGAGGCUGAGGCAGGAGAAUACUGUGAACCCAGGAGGCGGGGUUUGCAGUGAGCCAAGAUCGCACCACUGCACUCCAGCCUGGGUAACAGAGCGAGACUCUGUCUCAAAAAAAAAAAAAAAAAAAAAAACAAGGUUCACAGCAUCUUCACCAAGAACAGAUUCCCUCGCAAAAAAACACUUUCUGGCCAGUUGCAGUAGUUGCUGUAAUCCCAGCAAUUUGGGAGGCCAAAAUGAGAUGGUCACUUGAGCCCAGGAGUUUGAGACCAGCCUGGGCAACAUAGGGAAACACUCUCUCUCCAAAAAAAAAAAAAAAAAAAUCAAUUUGCUGGGAAUGAUGGUGCAUACCUAUAGUCCCAGCUACUCAGGAGGCUGAGGUGGGAGGAUUGCUUGAGCCCAGAAGGUCAAGCUACAGUGAGAUGUUAUUGUGCCACUGCACUCCAGUUUGGGCAACAUAGUGAGACCUUGUCUCAAAAAUUAAAAAAAAAAAAAAAAAAAAAAGGAAAAGAAAAAAGAAACCACUUUAUUUGUGCAUCCAUAAGAAGCAACUCCUCAUCACUCAUCCAUCCGAGUUCUAUCAUGAGAUUGCAGCAAUUCAGUCCCAUCUUCAGGCUUCACUUAUAAUUGUAGUUCUCUUGCUAUUUCUACCAUAUCUGCAGUUACUUCCUCCAUUGAAGUCUUCAACUCCCCAAAGUUAUCCAUAAGAGUGAUAAUCGACUUCUUUCAAACUCCUGUUAAUGUUCAUAUUUUGACUUCCUCUUAUGAAUCACAAAUGUUCUUAAUGGCAUUUAAAAUGGUGAAUCCUUUCCAGGAGGUUUUCAACUCACUUUGCCAAGACCUAUCAGAGGAAUUAAUAAAAUAUAAAAUAUAAAAAUAACAUCAAUGUCCUUGCACAUGUCCAUCAGAGCCCUUGGAUGACCAAUUCAUUAUCAAUGAGCAGUAAUAUUUUGGAAAUAAUCUUUUUUUCUGAACAUUAGGUCUCCACAGCGGGCUUAAAAUUUUUAGUAAACAGUCUGUAAAAAGACUUGCUGUCGCCCAAGCUGUGUUGUUCUAUUUAUAGAGAACAAGCAGAGUAGGUAUAGUAUAAUUCCUAAGGAACUUAGGAUUUCCAGAACGAUCAAUGAAUAUUGGCUUCAACUUGAAGUUGCCAGCUUCAUUGGCCCCUAACAAGAGAGUCAGCCUGCCCCUUAAAGCUUUGAAGUCAGGCAUUGACUUCUCCUCUCUAGCUAUGAAAGUCCUAGAUGGCAUCUUCUUCCAAUAGAAGGCUGUUUGUCUAUAUUGAAAGUCUGUUGUUUAACAUAGCCACCUUUGUCAAUUAUCUUAGCUUGAUCUCUGGAUAACUUGCUUCAGCUUCUCCAUCAGCACUCACUGCUUCACCUUGCACUUUUAUAUUAUGAAGAUGGCCUCUUUCCUUAAACCCCAUGAACCCACCUUUGCCAAUUUUAAAUUUUCUUCUGUAGCUUCCUCACUUCUCUCAGCCUUCAAAGAACUGCACAGAGGUAUGGCCUUGCUCUGGAUUAGGCUUUGGCUUUAGGGAAUGUUGUGACUUGUUUGAUCUUUUAUCCAGACCACUAAAACUUUCUCUGUAUCAGCAAUGAAACUAUUUCACUUUCUUAUCAUUUGUGUGUUCGCUGAAGUAGCACUUUUAAUUUUCUUUGAGAACUUUUCCUUUGCAUUCACAACGGUUUGGCUCAAGAGGCUUAGCUUUCAGCCUACCUUGGCUUUCCACAUGUCUUCCUCACUAAUUUCAAUCAUUUCUAACUUUUGACUGAAAGUGAGAGAUGUGCCACUCUUCAUUUCACUUUAACACUUAGAGGACAUUGUAGGGUUAUUAAUUGGUCUAAUUUCAAUAUUGUUGUGUCCCAGGGAAUAGGGAGGCCUGAAGAAAGGGAGAGAGAUGAGGGAAUGGCCAAUUGGUGGAGCAAUUAGAAUGCCCAUAUUUACUUACUGAGUUUCCUGUCUUAUAUGGGCACAAUUUGUGACACCCCAGGACAGUUAUAAUGGUAACAUCAGAGAUUGCUGAUUACAGAUCUGCAAAACAGAUAUAAUAACAAGAUUUGAAAUAUUGCAAGAAUUACCAAAAUGUAACAGAUUGAAGUAAAGUGAGCACCUGCUCUUGGAAAAAUGGUACCAAUAGACUUGCUUGAUGCAGUGUUGCCACAAACCUUCUAUUUUUUAAAAAUGCAAUAUUUGCACAAAGCACAAUAAAGUGAAGUGCAAUAAAAUGAAGUAUGCCUGUAAUUGUCAUAUGUGUUCCAAAGCCCUAUCUAAACCAUUCAUAGUGAUAACAAUCCAAAAUAUUUUUAGAAUCUCCAGAAAACUUGAUUCAUUCUCUACAUUUUAGAAUCACAAUUAUAUCUAGAAUGUAUCUUGAAUAUUAUCUGCAAUCUUUAUUUACAAUACUCUCUUGUUCAUUUAUUUAUUUAUCUGAUUUUUUUCAGUAAACAGAAUAUUCAAUCCUAAGAGUCAUGAAAACCUCAAGUUUGAGCUCUACUCUAGUUGGUUGUAUGACUUUAAAAGUAGUACUUUAUAUCUCAGUAAUUAAAUUUUAUACUCUAUAAAAUUAAGGGUUUAGUCCAAUGCAUUUUAAAGGUCCCUUCCAGUUUCAAUGUUUAAGAUUUAAUAAUUACAAUAAUUGUUUACAUUAAUGAGUGCCAGCCAUUCUACUUAGCACCUAACAUAAUUUACCUCAUUCAAUCUUCCUAAAGCUCUAUGAAAUAAGUGCUAUUAUUAUUGAUAUUUUACCAAUGAGAAGACUGAGGCACAGGGAAGUUACAUAACUUUCCUGAAACCAUUCAACAGAAAGCAUAAAGCUGGAUGGAAAUCCAAGUAUGACUUAUUCUACUCUGAACAACAUCUAAAUCAAAGGGCAGUCAGACUGGAGUGCAGUGGGGUGAUCACAGCUUACUGAAGCGUCGACCACCAGUACUCAAGCAAUCCUCCCACCUCAGCCUCUUGAGUAGCUGGGACUACAGGUAUGCACAAUCACACCCUGGCUAAUUUUUUAUUUAUUUAUUUAUUUAUUUAUUUAUUUAUUUAUUUAUUUAUUUUGUAGAGAUGGGGUCUCACCAUGGUGGUCUGAAACUCCUAGACUCAAGGGAUCCUCCUGCCUUGGCCUCCCAAAGUCCUGAGGUUACAGGUAUGAGUCACGGCUCCCAGCCAUAAAAAACAAAGCUCUGAGAACUUAAAUAUUUCACCCACAGUCAUACAGCUAGUAGAGGUUGAAGCCAGAAGUAGAUGCACUAUUUCUUAACUAUGAGGCCCGUGUGCUUUCUGUUGCACCACUCUGAAAAGCAGUACUGUAUCCCUCCAAAGAUAUAAACAUGGAUGUUCCCAUGGCAACAUAAACAGAUAAGGGGAAAACUCUCAAAGAUCUCCCAUAGAUGCACUAAAUGAGAAGCCUCUG